AUGUUAUCACACAUACAAUCAUACUCAGUUUGAUGGUAUUUUCGACGAUUGCAAUUUCUUCUUUCCAGCUAGAUAGAUCUCAACAAUACGACUUCUUAUAUCCACUGAUCUUUUAGGAGUAUAUUUAUGAACUUGCUCAUGAUUAGGGGUUUAAUAGAUUGAUUUUGUUGGAAAAUCCAGGUUAUGACAAUAAAUCCGGUGUACUAAUUGUAAAACACUUAAUUACUUGAAUGUAUCAACAAAUCAUUUUCUUAUUUCUGCUAAUUAUUCUAACCAAAAUCAAUUUUUGGGGCGCAAAAGGAAUUUGCAAGCUCAAUUCAUAUCAGAGGGGAUAGCAUUUAUUGUGGAAAUUCCUGCGAUUAAUACUUUCUCUAGAAGGGAAAAAAUGAUAGUAAAAUCUCAUAAUUUACGAUCAAUUCAUUCAAUAUUUCCUUUUUUAGAGGGCAAUUUUUCACAUUUAAAUUUUGUGUUAGAUAUACUAAUACUCCAUCCCAUCCAUCUGGAAAUCUUGGUUCAAACUCUUCGAUAUUGGGUAAAAGAUGACUCUUCUUUGAAUUUACUAAGAUUCUUUCUUCAUUGUGCCAAAGAUAAGCAACAAAGUUGUUAAAAAAACUUACCAAACAAAGAUCACACGAACACAAUUCU
rnacentral:lncRNA from 1 species